rnacentral:rRNA from 1 species
AACAAAUAGAAAGUUUCUUUUUUUAAUAAAAUUUAAAAUUUAUUAUAAUAAAUUUAUUAAAAAUAAAGGUGAAAUUUUUUUUUAAUUAAAAUUUUAAUAUAAAAUUAAAUUUCUACUACUAAACUAGGGUUAGAUAACCUAUUAUUAAAGAACUAUAAAUUGUAAGUAAAUAUUAAUUAUGAAAGCAAAAAAUUAUGGCGGUAUUUUAAGCUUUUCAGAGGAAUUUGCUCUUUAAUGGAUAAAACACCUAAAUCUUACUUAAAUUUGUCAAUUCAAUUUGUAUACCACUAUGUAAUUAAUUAUUAACUUUAAUUAAUAAAAUUUAUAAAAAUUAAAAAAAAUUAAGUCAAGGUGCAGUAAAAAUUUAAGGAUGAAGUGAAUUACAUUUCUUUUAAGAGAUUAUAAAUUUUAAAAUUAGUUUUAGGAUUUGAAAGUAAAAUUAAAAUAAAAUGUUAAUUUGAAUUAAGCUCUAAAAUAU